CCACGAUGUAUCAGGAGAGGUGGGCAAACGCAGUAGGGCGCCCCCUCUGAAAACUGUGCCAACUUUCUGAAAUUGUUUACACUUCUGCCGCUAGGUUCUCUAGUGUUAGUGGCCCUGGAAUUUGGCGCGAAUUCUCUGACGUGAAGCGUCUGCCAUUGUUGAUAGUAGAUCUUUAGAUUCCAUUUCGUUGUUUCAUUUUAUAAUUUCAAUCUUUAAGUUGUGGUGAUGUGUUUUUGAUAAAUCGUGUGGUGAAAUGGUGAAGUGUUUCGUGGUUGGAUGUUCUACGGGAUACAAAUCAGCAAAAGAAAAUGAUGCCAAGGUAUUUAAACCACCCAAAGAAGAAAGGCAAUUCAUUUUAUGGGGGAAAAAAAUUGAAAGAAGUGACAGAAAAUUUUCUAUAAAAGAUCAUGUGUGUUCUAGACAUUUUAAAGAAGAAUUCAUCAUCAAGAACUCUGUAAAUGGUGGGGCCUCCCUGAGUUGCUGGGUAAUGAGAGAUAUGAUGCCAUACCAACCCAUUUUCUUGGUUACAAAGAUGGGGUAGCCCCAAACAAAAAGUAUCGUAAACAAACAACCUCUCCAUUAUCAAACAAUGGAUGCCAUAAACAACCAGAAGAGAAACUUGAUGAUCGAACAACAUCUGAUGUAAACAGUGCUGAAGUCACUCUUCCUGGAGAGAAUAGUCUUGAACACAAAACCCCAGAAACAGGAGUUGAAAAUUUUGUCGAAACCCAACAUGAAGAAAUUAUCACUUCUGACACUUCUGUGGAAACCCAACGUGAAGAAAACAUCACUCCUGACACUUCUAUAGAAACCCAACAUGAAGAAAACAUCACUUCUGACACUUCUGACGGGAAACAUACUGCAGACACUGCUGAAGUUAUCACAGCCAUGGAUUGUGAUGAUUCAACAAUUAUU